rnacentral:rRNA from 1 species
AUUGAACGCUGGCGGCAGGCUUAACACAUGCAAGUCGAGCGGAGAGAGGUAGCUUGCUACUGAUCUUAGCGGCGGACGGGUGAGUAAUGCUUAGGAAUCUGCCUAUUAGUGGGGGACAACAUUUCGAAAGGAAUGCUAAUACCGCAUACGUCCUACGGGAGAAAGCAGGGGAUCUUCGGACCUUGCGCUAAUAGAUGAGCCUAAGUCGGAUUAGCUAGUUGGUGGGGUAAAGGCCUACCAAGGCGACGAUCUGUAGCGGGUCUGAGAGGAUGAUCCGCAACACUGGGACUGAGACACGGCCCAGACUCCUACGGGAGGCAGCAGUGGGGAAUAUUGGACAAUGGGCGGAAGCCUGAUCCAGUCAUGCCGCGUGCGUGAAGAAGGCCUUAUGGUUGUAAAGCACUCUAAGCGAGGAGGAGGCUACUUUAGUUAAUACCUAGAGAUAGUGGACGUUACUCGCAGAAUAAGCACCGGCUAACUCUGUGCCAGCAGCCGCCGCAGUAA